rnacentral:rRNA from 1 species
GCCCAGUGAUUAAUUAAACGGCUGCGGUAUAUUGACCGUGCUAAGGUAGCAUAGUCAUUUGUCUUUUAAUUGGGGGCUGGAAUGAAGGGUUUAACAAAAGAUAGUGUCUUUAUUUUAAAUUUGUAAUUUAUAAUAAGGGUAAAAAUACUUUGGUGUGAUUAAGGGACGACAAGACCCUAAAAGCUUUAUUUUUAAUAUGAGUUUGAGUUUAAAAUAAAACAGAAAGUUUAACUGGGGUAGUUUUUUUGUAAAAUCUGAAGGUUGUAAAAGGCAUAUAAAAUGGAAGUUAGGUCCUUUAGAUAAGGAUAAUUUGAGUGAGUUACUUUAGGGAUAACAGCGUAAUAGUCCUAGGGAGAAUCGUAUCUAUGGGAAUUGAUUGCGACCUCGAUGUUGAAUUAAAAGCUCAGUGUAGAGCAGA